rnacentral:rRNA from 1 species
GUUGGAAUCCUUAGUAAUUAGUAAUCGCAAAUCAGAGUGUUGCGGUGAAAUUUAAUCUCAGUACUGCCCGUCACGUCCUGAAAAU